rnacentral:rRNA from 1 species
UACGGAGGGUGCGAGCGUUGUCCGGAAUCAUUGGGCGUAAAGGGCGCGUAGGUGGCGGGACAAGCGUGCGGUGAAAGCUCGGGGCUCAACCCCGCGUCGGCCGUGCGAACUGUUUUGCUUGAGCACUGUAGAGGCAGGCGGAAUUCCGGGUGUAGCGGUGGAAUGCGUAGAGAUGUGGAGGAACACCAGUGGCGAAGGCGGCUUUUUGGUCUGUAACUGACGCUGAGGCGCGAAAGCGUGGGGAGCAAACAGG